GCGGCUUAAUUUGACUCAACGCGGGGUAAUUUACCAGGUAUAACAUGGUAUAAUAUUUUAUCAUGAUAGUGGUGCAUGGCCGUUUCCAAUGGAUGCUGUGAAGUAAUGAUUAAUUUCAACAAGAUGUGAGACCCUCGUUUAGACAGAUGUAGUGAUACAUAUGAAGGAGAGGAUUAAAACAGGUCCGUUAUGCCCUAAGAUAAUCUGGGUUGCACGCGCAAUACAAUAAUAUUUGAUAUUAUAAGGGAUAAUAUAAUGUAAGAUAUAUUUGAACAUGGAAUUGCUAGUAAAUUUUAUUUAAUAAGUAGAAUUGAAUGAGUCCCUGUUCUUUGUACACACCGCCCGUCGCUAUCUAAGAUGGUAUUAUCUAUGAACAAAUUUAUAAAGUGAAUAGAUAGUACUAGAUCUGAUAUAAGUCGUAACAUGGUUGCUGUUGGAGAACCAUUAGCAGGAUCAUAA
rnacentral:rRNA from 1 species